rnacentral:rRNA from 1 species
UACGGGGGGGGCAAGCGUUGUUCGGAAUUACUGGGCGUAAAGGGCGCGUAGGCGGCCUUCUAAGUCGGACGUGAAAUCCCUCGGCUUAACCGAGGAACUGCGUCCGAUACUGAAAGGCUUGAAUCCGGGAGAGGGAUGUGGAAUUCCAGGUGUAGCGGUGAAAUGCGUAGAUAUCUGGAGGAACACCGGUGGCGAAGGCGGCAUCCUGGACCGGCAUUGACGCUGAGGCGCGGAAA